AGGACGAACGCUGGCGGCGUGCUUAACACAUGCAAGUCGAACGGUAAGGCCCUUUCGGGGGUACACGAGUGGCGAACGGGUGAGUAACACGUGGGUGACCUGCCCCCUACUCUGGGAUAAGCUUGGGAAACUGGGUCUAAUACCGGAUAUGACAUGUUCCUGCAUGGGGAUGUGUGGUAAAGUUUUUGUGGUGGGGGAUGGGCCCGCGGCCUAUCAGCUUGUUGGUGGGGUGAUGGCCUACCAAGGCUUCGACGGGUA
rnacentral:rRNA from 1 species